rnacentral:piRNA from 1 species
UGCCCCAUUUCUAGAAUAGCCUUUGCUCUUC